GAGAGUAAAACCUGCUUAUUCGGUGGGAAAACGCGGCCAAACAGCCUAUUAUAUCCCGAUGAUCUUGAUGCAAAGCCUGCUGGGAUCCUAUUCUGCCCGCGUUGCAGCAAUACCCAAGGGAAUUCUCUAUGCGCAUUCUGUUUCUGUUACAAAGCACAAGAUGAUGAAUCACCUCGGCUAACAACCCUAACCCCUUGGUUCCGGAGAAAGGCCCAAGCAACCGUACAGUAUACGAGAAAGAACUUGGAGAGGGGGCAAAAAAAAAGUCAAGAAAUGCUUCGGAGAUGUGUUCUUGGCAGUCCAGCGGGGUCCACACAGGGCAUCACCAAGGAUUCUGCAUUAGCAGGGCUGUUCGCUUCGGCUUAUAAGCCGGCUGAAAAGUUGAAAGGGUUGAUUUGUUGUGAGUGGAAAAUACUAUUUGGUGGCUGAUAAGCCGACUGAAUAAGCUGAAGCGAACAGGCUCGCAAUCUGCCAAUCUGCUUCCUGGGUGCAGUAAUAUAUUGUGCUUUGCAUACGUAGCAAUAAAAAAAUAAAAACAAAAAUGGUGCAACCAUUGCGAAUAAGAAAAGGACUCUGCUGCAGUAGCAAUGGUAAUCAUAGGUACUACUAGCACAAUGUGCUCCAGGCAACACCAAAAUACAGUGGUGUGAAAGUUUCGCUUGUCCCCAGCUCCACUCCAUGCAAAAGCGUACGUAGCUGCUGCUCCCAAGCGAAGUACUACACGUCUACACCACCCUCUGAUCCCUCUCUCUCUCUCACUCGCUCUACAGCAGCAACGGUUACGGCAGUGACAUAAUAACAGCGGCAGUGGACGACUGACAGGUGCGCCCCACCGCUCCUCACGCCAGGGACGGGCCCACCGCCAGCGAGAGCAGCACCAGCGCCGCCGCCGCGGCGGAUGCCGCCGCACCUCCCGCCGCCGCGCCGCUCUGCAGAACACAGACGAGCCCCACGGGGCAGUGAGUCAGUGAGAGUACAUUGACCACGUAGGAGGAGUAGUCUACAGAACACAACACAGCGCAAGGUGUGGCCACGUGCGGGCCCCGGCCGUCAGCGGGGCGGAAAUUAUUCGCGCACCCCACGCGACCGUACCCUCGCACGAACGGCUACUGGCAGGCGGGGCCCGCGGCGCGUCGAGACCGAGGGGGUAAGCUGCCGCGCGGGGCCCGGGAGGCGCGUCGGUCUCCGACGCUUUGACCCGACAGGCGGCAGGCAUGCCCUCGCUGACGCGUGGGGCCCCGCGCCGCGCCCUUGCCUCGGGCUCCGCGCUCCUCGCGGCCACGGGCCCUCGGGAGCAGGUGGGGAUCAAACGCAGUGGAGUGGGGAGGAGACGUACCAUCAUGUCGGCGGUGGAGGGGCCGGGUCCCGGGGCGAGGCCGGCGGCGGCGCCGGUGGACGGGGACGCGGAGGCGAGCGGGGGCGAUGCGGGCGCCACGUGCUUCUUCUCCAUCGGCGGCGGCGGCUUCUUGCUGGGCGCCGGGGCGGGGAGGACGACGGGCGCGGGGGCGGGAGGGGACGAGGUCGACGGCGCGGGUGCGAGCGCCGGGGGAGGAGGGAGCGUCGUCGGCGCGGGCACCGGCGGGGAGAACGCGGCGGGAGGGGUGGCGGCGCGGACGACGGUCGCAGGCGCCGGCGCGGUGGACGGGGGAGAGGGGGGCAAUGCCGGCGGCUGGGAGGAGGUGAUGGGUNNNNNN
rnacentral:lncRNA from 1 species